rnacentral:lncRNA from 1 species
CACUUGGCUGGAGAGAGUCAGCAGCGAACGUGCUGUGCUGCUUUCCCAGGCCUUGAGGCCGCAGCCUCAGGACCCCGCGAAGAGAAUGCACUUGGGGCUGAGUGAGAGGAUGGAUCACUGGGUCCAGACGCACCAGGCCACCGGCCAGGAACCUUCCUGCCCUCAUGGGCAGCUCAGGGCAGGUCUUACCACACCCAGCGACCACUGGCACUGAGAUGAGAGGGAGCCCAGGGCAGGUCUCCCUGGGCCUGGCCACCACACACUCGGAGCCACUGAGUCCAGGACAGGACCAUUUAGGAUUGGCCACCUCUAUUGGAAAUCAAGUGGCUGAGAGCCUGCCAGAGGUCUGCAUGGUGAGGGCAGUGGAGCCAGGCACACCUCACACCCUGAUGGAGCCCCCGGAGAAGGCCUUCUUGGGUAGCUGCCCCAUCUGGGGCGCCUCCUCCCCAGACCCCUCCAGGGCCUGCAUUUCCUCCCCACAGGAGGGAUGGUGGGAAGGUGAGUUCUGCUAUCAGCAGCACAGUGAGCUUUGGCCACUAUGGCUCCAUAUCAUGGGAAUGUGCAAGCACCUCUGUCAGCCUCAGUUUGGAAAUCUGAACAAUGGGCUGCUGAGAAAACUAAGCUCACUUCAUGACUGUAGGAUGAAAUGGGGUCUAUCAUAA